UGCGUAGGCGGUUUGCUAAGUCAGAUGUGAAAGCCCGAGGCUCAACCUCGGGACUGCAUUUGAAACUGGCUAACUAGAAUACAGGAGAGGUAAGUGGAAUUCCUAGUGUAGCGGUGAAAUGCGUAGAUAUUAGGAGGAACACCAGUGGCGAAGGCGACUUACUGGACUGUUAUUGACGCUGAGGCACGAAAGCGUGGGGAGCGAACAGGAUUAGAUACCCUGGUAGUC
rnacentral:rRNA from 1 species